rnacentral:rRNA from 1 species
UACGUAGGGGGCAAGCGUUGUCCGGAUUUAUUGGGCGUAAAGAGCGUGUAGGCGGCUUGGUAGGUCUGCUGUGAAAACUCGGGGGCUCAACCCCGAGACGUCGGUGGAAACCACCUGGCUAGAGUCCGGAAGAGGAGAGUGGAAUUCCUGGUGUAGCGGUGAAAUGCGCAGAUAUCAGGAGGAACACCGGUGGCGAAGGCGGGUCUCUGGGCCGAUACUGACGCUGAGGAGCGAAAGCGUGGGGAGCGAACAGG